UACUGUUUUGGCAGAAGAGAUGCUCUAGAUUUAGGAUCUAGCUAUAUAGAAUUAUUGUCUAUAAAUAGUAA
rnacentral:tRNA from 1 species